ensembl:lncRNA
GUUCCACUUCCUGCUAAGAACUCGAUCAGGUCACAUAGUUGUGUCUGCACGUCUUCCAUUUCUGAAUUGGAAUGAAUUAUAUUAUAACUGUUGGAUAUAUAUUAUUCAUCUUCAGUAACUGGUUUAUCUUGAUCAGGAUCGCAGUGGAUCCGGAGCCUAUCCUGGGAACAAAGGGUGCAACCCAGGAACACAUCCUGGGUGGGACACCAGUUUUUCGCAAGGCACCAUGCACACCCACACCCACACAGGAGCAGUUUGGCAUAGCCAGUCCAAAUACUGGCAUGUUCUGGGGAGGUGGGAGAAAACCGAAGAACCUGGAGGAACUUGGAUAUCCUUUUAAGCCAUUCUGUAAAAGAGGAGCAUCGUGGCAGUGGACAAAAAAAACUCUGACACUUCCAGAACUUUGUCAUCAGCCAUCUUUGGUCACAAUGGCACUUAAUCAACUGCUGGUGAGCAUGUCUGAUUACGAUACAACUCACGAUCAAAGAGUUUGCUUACAAUGUGCGAUUUUGUCUGUGACAGGAAAAUCAUACAGCGUAAACCCGAC